UGUAAGGAAUGCGUUUAAUAGCGCCAGCUGGUCUGCUAUUGCCGAUGCGCUCUUGCGUCUGGGGAUACCGGAGAACCUGUACAAGAUUCUCGGAAGUUACUUUCAGAAUCGUGUACUAGUCUACGACACGGAGGUGGGUCGGAAGUGCUUUCAAUGUUUAUCAAAAACAUGUCUUUUUGUAUUUAAUUUAAAGUCUAACCUGCCCACUGAUAGAUAUUAAAGGGCCGCAGUAUUUUGACUGUGCGAAGGUAGCAUAAUCAGUAGUCUUUUAAUUGAAGGCUUGUAUGAAUGGUUGAAUGAGAUAUAUACUGUCUUUUUUAAAUUUUUAUAGAAUUUUAUUUUUUAAUUAAAAAGUUAAAAUAUAAUUAAAAGACGAGAAGACCCUAUAGAUCUUUAUUUUUUUUAAUUAUAAGUUAAAAAGAAUAAUUAAAUUUAUAGUUUUAUAAAAAAUUUUACUGGGGUGGUAUUAAAAUUUAAUUAACUUUUAUUAUUUGUUUACAUUAAUAUAUGUAUAUUUGAUCCAAUUUUAUUGAUUAAAAAAUUAAGUUACCUUAGGGAUAACAGCGUAAUUUUUUUUUAGAGUUCUUAUCGACAAAAAAGAUUGCGACCUCGAUGUUGGAUUAAGAAUUAUUUUUAGGUGUAGAAGUUUAAAGUUUAGGUCUGUUCGACCUUUGAAUUCUUACAUGAUCUGAGUUCAAACCGGCGUAAGCCAGGUUGGUUUCUAUCUUUAAUAAAUUAUUAUAUUAUAGUACGAAAGGACCUA
rnacentral:ncRNA from 1 species